AGUGAACGCUGGCGGUAGGCCUAACACAUGCAAGUCGAACGGCAGCACAGUAAUAGCUUGCUAUUACGGGUGGCGAGUGGCGGACGGGUGAGGAAUACAUCGGAAUCUACUUUUUCGUGGGGGAUAACGUAGGGAAACUUACGCUAAUACCGCAUACGACCUACUGGUGAAAGCAGGGGAUCUUCGGACCUUGCGCGAUUGAAUGAGCCGAUGUCGGAUUAGCUAGUUGGCGGGGUAAAGGCCCACCAAGGCGACGAUCCGUAGCGGGUCUGAGAGGAUGAUCAGCUACCCUAGAACUGAGACACGGUACAGACUCCUACGGGAGGCAGCAGUGGAGAAUAUUAGACAAUGGGAGGAAGGCUGAUCUAGACAUACCGAGUGGGUGGAGAAGGCCUCCGGGUUGUAAAGCCAAUCUGUUGGGAAAGAAAAGCAGCAGGUUCAUAGCGCGCUGUUCUGAAGGUACCGAAAGAAUAAGCACCGGCUAACUUCGUG
rnacentral:rRNA from 1 species